UAAAGGGAGCGUAGGCGGAUUUUUAAGUGAGAUGUGAAAUACUCGGGCUUAACCUGAGUGCUGCAUUUCAAACUGGAAGUCUAGAGUGCAGGAGAGGAGAAGGGAAUUCCUAGUGUAGCGGUGAAAUGCGUAGAGAUUAGGAAGAACACCAGUGGCGAAGGCGUUUCUCUGGACUGUAACUGACGCCGAGGCGCGAAAGCGUGGGGAGCAAACAGGAUUAGAUACCCUGGUAGUCCACGCUGUAAACGAUGAAUACUAGGUGUGGGAGGACUGACCCCUUCCGUGCCGCAGUUAACACAAUAAGUAUUCCACCUGGGGAGUACGACCGCAAGGUUGAAACUCAAAGGAAUUGACGGGGGCCCGCACAAGCAGUGGAUUAUGUGGUUUAAUUCGACGCAACGCGAAGAACCUUACCUAGACUUGACAUCUCCUGCAUUACUCUUAAUCGAGGAAGUCCCUUCGGGGACAGGAAGACAGGUGGUGCAUGGUUGUCGUCAGCUCGUGUCGUGAGAUGUUGGGUUAAGUCCCGCAACGAGCGCAACCCUUAUUGUUAGUUGCUACCAUUUAGUUGAGCACUCUAGCGAGACUGCCCGGGUUAACCGGGAGGAAGGUGGGGAUGACGUCAAAUCAUCAUGCCCCUUAUGUCUAGGGCUACACACGUGCUACAAUGGCUGGUACAGAGAGAUGCGAAACCGCGAGGUGGAGCUAAACUUCAAAACCAGUCUCAGUUCGGAUUGUAGGCUGAAACUCGCCUACAUGAAGCUGGAGUUGCUAGUAAUCGCGAAUCAGCAUGUCG
rnacentral:rRNA from 1 species